AUUAUUUUUCUCGUAUAGCUGCUAUAUAGCGUUCGACUCCAUGGAAAAUAAAGGCUCCAAAUUAUAUAAAAAAUAUAGCAUAUAUACAAAGUGCAAUUUAGAUAGUAUUCCAGAAAAAAAUGCGCCAAUGUAAAUGCUGAAAAGUUUCCUAUCGUAUUGUCGAACAAAUUCAUAUCUACUUCUGAUCUACGCGACCUUAGAAGUUUGGAUUGUCCUACCUAAUCAUUUUACAUUUUAUUGUUUUCAGAACAAGAAUUAUUUUACUUCCCACUGUCUAUGUAAGGGGACUUAGAGCGGAUUCAUACUUUACUAUACGUGUCGUGUCGAAUGAUAGUCCCUAUGUCAGUUUCUCCAAUUCUAUUUUGCGUAGGAUAAGUUAAAAAAAUAAUUAAAAAUAUGUGUUACCGUAUUUUUAUUCGUGAAAUGUUACCUAUAUUUCUAAGUUAAUGAUUGUACUAUACUUCCAAAAAUAUGUCUGACAAACAUUUUACAUUAAAGCCAUUUUUCCAUGUAAAAAUGAACUGUUAUUGGGACCAUCUUCUGAAUUUAUGAUAAUUUAUUCAUAUUUUAAUGUACUCGGGUAAUAUUGCAGACAUUAUAUCAGCACCAAAUAAAUGCUGUGAACCAGAUAUAAUAAUAUAUUAAGUGGCGAAUAACGUUUCCAAAUCGCAUUUUCUUUUGACAUAUUUUUCUUUUUUUUUGCUCUUUUUUUCACGACCGGUUUGGCCUAGUAAGUCGAUGAUCCUGGGUUUGAAUCCCGGUAAGAGCAUUUAUUUGUGUGAUGUGCACAGAUAUUUGUUCCUGAGUCAUGGAUGUUUUCUAUGUAUUUAAGUAUUUGUAUAUUAUAUAUUAUUAUGUCGUUGUAUGAGUACCCACAAAACAAGCCUUCUCGGCUUGCCGUGGGACUCAGUCAAUUUGUGUAAGAAUGUCCCUAUAAUAUUUAUUUAUUGUUAUUAUUAUUGUAUGUCCGGUAACAGAACUCCCCAGGAGCACUCGGGUGUGUAAGGUCGCUACUCCCCAACUUAUUAUAAUUGUUAUUACUUUCAGCAUUUUUAAGUUGUUCAUCGGACACUGAGGCCAUUGAAGUUUCAAGCUGGCGGCAUCAAAAUGGAGUACCUAGAAACCAUACGGAAAUAAUGAGGAUGCAUCGACAUAAGAAGAAUCGAACAUGGGCAAGAUAAAGUUCAAGAAAAAAGCAAAUAUAAUGUGUACUUGUGUGUAGUCAAAGAAAGUUGAAAAAUAAAGCAUAAUUAAUGGCCAUAGAAUACAGAACCGAUACACGAACAUUAAGACUAUUAAAAAUAGACAUAUAGGUUGAUCGUACUACUCGUACUAAUGUAUAUCUUUUGUUCAAUUAUAUUAUUGCAUUAAAGUUAGAUUCUCUAGAUAUAUAUUAUUCAUAGGUUCUGUAUUCUAUACGAAUUGUUUCAGUGUAAUUAUUGUACUAAAUACCGUUGACCGCCUGUCAACAGUAUUUAUUUCUACAUUACUAUCACAGAAGAUUUUAGGCCCUACCGUACAGUUUUUGAAUUAGUAUUUACUAUGGACAUAUAUAGCGAAAUGUGAGUUUUUACCUAAAAUAUCAAUCUUUUGUGAACGUGGUGUAGAGUAUAUACCGCCUAAGACUGAAGUAGCUACGCGGGUUACGUUUUAAAAAUAGAAUCGUGUUCAUGGUCGGCCCAUGGUAAAAAUAAUUAGGUACCCGUAGACCCGCUGGUGAACACUGUUUAUGAUAACACUUAAAAUAAACCCCGUGGACCCACCAGGAGAACAUAUUGGAGAGACUAGAGAUAAUACACCGCUUUAAGGGCGGUCGCACUCGGCAUUGACAUCUGGCAUCUAGAUGGCGGGUGGACCUCAGCGAAUUUCAAAGAAAUAUUUAUAAACAUCCAAUGACGUUCGGCUCGGACACCAGAUCUUCAAUCUCCUGAUUCCUGUGGAGUCUCCAGGUUCCAUCCUCUCCACGUGUGAGUCCUAGGAUUUUUCGCGCUGCCAGACUCCGAUGACUCGGGCACGUAGUCCAGAUGGGUGAGGAUCGUGCAGCCUGGAGGGCGUACUCUGAAGUUCCAAAUGGCCGAAGACCAUCUAGACGUCCUAGGUAGGUCCCGCUGGAGAGACGAAAUGCAAAAAGACCUUAGCGAACUCGGCGCCGUCGACUAGAUGGAAACGGUUUUGGACAGAGAAGCAUGGCGGUCUUUGGUGUCGGAGGCCAAGAUCCACUUCGGGUCGCUGCGCCAUAGCAGUAAGUAUUUAUAAACAUACUGUACCUUCUGUGUACCUAACCCAAAACGAGAUAUUUAAGAAAAAGUCCACCCGCCAUUCUGACGUCUGGAUUGCGGUUGGACCUAUGAAAUCUUGCAUUAUACCGCACUAAAAGUAUGCAGUUAUAUGGUACAGUCGCCAUCAGAUAUAUCGGAGUGGCCGAGGUGCUCAAAGAUCUCUAAACACGCACUCUAACCUCUUGACAGUAGAGGCAUGUUCAGAUAUUCGUGGGUACCUUGGCCGCUCCGAUAUAUAUGAUGGUGACUGUACCUUCAGUGUACCUCUGUAAAUAGAAAUAGAAACCGGUGUACCUCUCCCCAAAACAAGCUAGGCUAAGCUCAUGCACAAUAUAACUGCAUACUUUUAGUGCGGUAUAAUGCAAGAUUUCAUAGGUCCACCCGCCAUCCUGACGUCAGGUUGGCGGGUGGACCGUUUUGUAAAAUAUCUCGUUUUGGGGAAAGGUACACUGGUUUCUAUUAAAGGUACACUGAGGUACACAGAAGGUACAAUAUGUUUAUAAAUAUUUCUUUGAAAUUCGCUGAGGUCCACCGCCAUCCUGACGCUUACCAUAUAUCUAAGGACCGACCUUAGGGGCAAUAACGAUAGUGCUAGUUCAGUUGUGUCAUUCACAAAUUCGAGCCAAUCGUGCUGUCUAACGCAACUAGAUGCGAUCAAUCGCGUGCGUAAUGCGAACUCAUCAACCAAUCACGUUGUGGUACUUGUGGCGUUAGACUGCACGAUUGGCUCAAACUCGUGUGCGUAACACCGCUGUACUGGCCCCAUUCUUAUUGCCCGUAAGGCCCGUCCUCAGAUAUAUUAUGUCAAUGACACAGUCGCGAUUUUAAAAAAUCACAUCGCUUCUGCUACCAAGUUGUUGAGCAUAACGUUUUCCUAUCCAUAGGUUCCAUCUGUCCAGUAGGAUCCACCAUCUCGAUCCACCAGAUUGAAGAGAUUGUUACUUAACUGAUGGAUCGAGAUAAUGAAACCUACUGAAUAGAGCGGGUCGAUUGGAUAUAACAAAGUACGCUUAUAUGAAACGCUACUCCGGUGUGCGAGUGAGACAGUCAGGCCAAUUUGAACUUGCAUUUGACAGAAAAUUGUCUCCAUCAAACGCUACCAGUUCCAUUGCCGGCCUCUUCGCUGCCUUCUAUAGUGGUUCAAUCUUACCUUGCUUAUGAAUAAAAAGGGGCGUGCACACCGAUAUUAGAGUAAUAUUGGAAUCAUAUCAGUUAAUUGCGGGCGUCUCGCUCGCACAAAUACAUGCGUAUAAGUGCGAAAUGAACGCACGAAUGACAGCUAACUGGUAUCAUUCCAAUAUUAUUCUAAAAUUGGUUUAAUGUCAGUUGCACUUUCGAAUUGGCCUACAUAGCGAUUUCCUUAGCCUGCACACCGGAUCGGCGUGUGGGCCGGCAUCUAGCUAAUGUAAAGCCACCUCAUUAGGUGCUUUUAGCCUUUUGAACGGCAAGAACACCUAAAGAUGUGGUGAGAGAAAGCCGCGCGUCCCUCAUGCACUGCACUAGCUUUACAGCUUGCAUUGCGACCAAUGUAUGCCGCUCACCGCCCCGCCGGUCGCGUGGGUCCAAUCCGCGGCCCUAGAAGACGUACUUUACAUAUAAACAAGAGCACGCGAGCAUAUUGCGAGUUGUGUAUGUGUACUUGUGUUAUCUAAGCGCACAAACGGUUACAAUAACAAGAAGUGUACACCGCGUGUGCAGUCCAACACGGGAGCACGGGUGCGAUUCGAAAAUAACGCGCUAGCGACGCAUUACGACAUUGAUACUUUACCAUUUGAACGCCAUAAACAAAAACGUUACUCACACGCCAAGGUCACGGGCGCAAGUGAGCUUGAAAGUGCAUGAGUAUUACAUUAGGGACUUUGACAGCGAUUAUAACAGCUAUAAUCAUUAAUGUGUUCAUGGCCCUUAAAUCAUGUCUAGUGACGGCGCCUUUAGGUGUUCUUGACGUUCAAAAGGUUAAGGGCGUUUGCUAGCUGGCGCUAAUGCACGGAGCGGGCAAACACGCGCAGGUGCCUUUGUAAGUAAAAUCAGUCGCACGCGUCCGCGCCAGUUAGCGUUGCUGAUACUGUAAGCCGCACGCCCGCUCCAUGCACACGCGCGACGUUGCGGACGCCCUAUGCCCUAAACCUUACUUGAAAGUGUGAAGGUUACUCUGACAGCGGCUAUAUCAGCUAUAAUGUAUUUAUGACGCUUUGAGCAUAGCUAGUUAAGACGCCUUAAGGUAUUCUUGGCGUUUAAAAGGUUAAGGGCGUUUGCUAGCUGGCGCGAGUGCACGGAGCGGGUGCACGCGCGCGGGUGCCUUUGUAGGUAAAAUUCGUUGCACGCGUCCGCGCCAGUUAGCGUCGCCAGUUACUGUUUUUCGUUAACCCGCUCCAGCUAGCAAACUAAUCGCAAAUGGUCCGAGAUUGGCGCAAUAACCAUGCAUUACCUUAUCUGGAUCUGGAUGCACCUAUUCACCAAUGCUUGCUUUAAAGUAACUUGUCGACUCGUCCUGAUAAUAUUUGUGCGACCGUGAAGAAAAUCUAUGCCGUCACUUAUUUUUCAAUUUAUAUGAAAUAAAGAUGUUAAAUGUAUUCAAAAGUUUUUAUUUAAUAAGGUAUGUAUAAGUGCUCUGUGCAUCCGCACCAGCUAGCGGUGCCCUUAGCAAACCAAUCGCAAAUGGUCCGAGAUUGGCGCAAUAACCAUGCAUUCUCUUAUCUGGAUCUGGAUGCACCUAUUCACUAGAAAAUGUAUGCCGUCAGUUAUUUUUCAAUUUAUAUGAAAUAAAGGUGUUAAAUGUAUUCAAAA